rnacentral:misc_RNA from 1 species
AAACCAAACACCCACCCUUUCCCCUCUCUCUCUCUCUUCAACAAUGGAGGCCAAGAUUGAUCAACAAGAAUUCAUUUUCCGCUCCAAGCUCCCAGAUAUCUACAUCCCAAAUCACCUUCCUUUACACACAUAUUGCUUCGAAAAAGUUUCCCAAUUCAAAGACAAUCCUUGCUUGAUCAAUGGCGCUACUGGCGAUAUCUACACUUACGCCG